UACGUAGGGGGCUAGCGUUGUCCGGAUUUAUUGGGCGUAAAGAGCGUGUAGGCGGCCAUGUAGGUCCGGUGUGAAAACUCGAGGCUUAACCUCGAGUUGUCGGUGGAAACCGUAAGGCUAGAGUCCGGAAGAGGAGAGUGGAAUUCCUGGUGUAGCGGUGAAAUGCGCAGAUAUCAGGAAGAACACCCGUGGCGAAGGCGGCUCUCUGGGACGGUACUGACGCUGAGACGCGAAAGCGUGGGGAGCGAACAGG
rnacentral:rRNA from 1 species